rnacentral:lncRNA from 1 species
AUGGUUCAGUCUGAUAAUGAAUCCCUUGGGGCAGACGAACUCACAAACGAUUCGGAAUACUCAAAUUCAGGAGCCAUUGAGAGUACGUUGACCCAAACUGACUCAGGACCAAUGGAAAUCCAAAAGCUAUCACCAGAGCAGCUGAAAGAAAUCAUUGGAGGAGAUGUGAGUGAAGUGCGAUCGGAGUCGGAAGAAAGUCAGGAUGUAGUUAAAAAUUUAGCAUCAGAAUUCGACAAAGUUAGGAAUUUCGAAUCAGUGAAAGAGAUCACCACAUCCUCAUUGAAGAUUAAGAUCACCACUAAAACUGGACCAAAGACAAAUUCCGAGAGUAAUACAGAAUUGCAAGGUCAUACUUCUGCAACAGUAUCGCGCAGCUGUUCUAUUGACAGUGAGAGCACAUCUCUAUCUAUUGAUAAUGCAACUUCUGAAUCAGACAGAACUCAAUCAGCAGCGGUAAGUCGAUCUAGCUCUGUUGAAAGUGAAGCAAGCAUAUUUUAUAGUGAUAGAGGUAUCAAAACACCAGCUUCAAUCAGUCGAACAAACUCCACCAGCAGUGACAGUUCUGUCUCCAGUGACCUGAGCCGCCUAAAAUCAUCUGGUGUAGACGCCUCAAUUUUACCUCACCCUGAAUACAAGAACAAAAUCAAGGUUGACCUUCGCAACAACCAAAUCAUUUCCCAUGAGGCUGGAAAAUUCCCAAUGAAAAUUACCACGGAGGCAUCUUGCCCGGCCAAGAUCUUUAUGAAGUCAGCAACAAAACCAGAGCCAGGAUCUUCAAAGUGGCGUGCUAUAGAACCAGUAACUACAGAUUGUAAAGUAAUUUUAAAAUCCAUCGAUACUGAUAGUAAAGAAUCCAUGACCCCAAAACGUGGCAGAAGAAAAGCAACCAUCGAUGUUAAUGAUAGCAUCGAUGGCCAAAGUUUUCCUGAUAAAUUAAUGCCCAGGCGCGGGCGGCCGAAGAAAGUAUCAGAGGCAGAGCCGCAAGUCAAAUUAUCCAAACUUACAACAGAAAUUAUUAAUGUUGGAGAAGGAGGAAGUGCAAACUCCUGUGGAAAUGAGAAUAGUGAUAUUUUAAACAAGGAGCCUGAUGCAGUGGGAGAUUUGGAGGCAAACUACAAAGUACCCAUCGAAUUGAUGGAUGGCAGUGUCAUAGAUGAAACCCCAGUGAAGAGUCCAUUUGUCUCACUGCUGACUACAGAUUCUGAUGCGACACCAGGUUCUGGUGAACCCACAAAGCGGAAACGAGGUCGUCCGCGUAAAAUCAAAGUUGAAGAUGGCAAUCUCUCUACCCUACAAGGAACUCCCGUGAAAGGAAAAAGAGGACGAAAACCGAAGAUUAACCUCGAUGACCCUAAUGACCCCCGGGCUGUAGCUGAAAGAGAACGGUUGGCUGAGCAAGCAAGGCUUCGUCAAGAAGCUGCUGAAAAGAAACGGCGAGAGGAAGAAGAGCGUAAACAAAGGGAGGAAGAGGAACGUAAGAAACGAGAAGAGGAAGAACGAAUUAGGCGCGAAGUAGAAGAAAAGAAACGACUUGAAGAGGAAGAAAGACUCAAAGAAGAGGCCCUGAAAAAGAAAGAAGAAGAGAAGGCCAGGAAGUAUGAAGAAAAAAAGAAGAGGUAAGCACAUUUUCUAGAAAUAAAUGUAAAGAAAUUUAAGCUAGGUACGACAAGAAACUCGGAGAUGGAACCUGAAGAACAAUUUUUACUUGUUAAGUGGGA